CCCAAGACGCCUAGCCGUUACCUUCCUUACAGAUACAAGUGCCGUCGAUGGGGGAGCAGGCGAUGGCAUUUUCGCAUGAGCAGCGAGAGGAGCAGUUGACCCCGUGCAGGAUGCCUGGCAGCUGAGGCCGUAGAGACCGUCGGGGCAGAGGCGCUCAGCACAGCGAUCACCUGUGAAGCCGUGUUCACACAGACACGCCCCGUUGGCAGGAAAGCAACGGGCACCAGGGGCGCAGUCGCAGGUCUCAGCACAGUCUUGCCCGAAGCGGCCCACGGGGCACUCCUCAUGGCAUCUGGUGCCAAGUUGAGUGGCAAAGGACUUGCAAACCCGGUUCCUUCCUUGGCGGAGAGGGGCAACAGAGCAAGCACCAAGCAGGCUCUGCUCUCAGGGGAAAAGUGCUUUCCCUGGUUAAGCCUCACAGCAACAGGAGGUAAGCGCUUUAUAUUAUUAUACCCUAUGGAAAAGAGAAAUUGAGGCACAGAAGAACAGAGCGAAAUCAAAGUUCAAGGCUGAUCUUCCAGACUUGGGUGUCACCCAGAAUCUAUAGUUAGCAAGCUGAGCCCUGGAAUUAAGGCGGCCUGGACUCCAUGGAGAGGCCCGCAGGCUGCCUUCCCCCGGGCAAAGAGAACCACAGGCUGGCCCCAGCAGCUUCUCUUUCCACUUACGCAGAACGCCCCACUGCCACCUCUCUUGCCUGCCACUCAGUCCCCAGUUUCGGCGCAGGGAUCUUAGGCUCCAGAGC